CCAGCUACACAUAACCUGCAAAACCCCAUGCGGUUGGCUGUGUAAACAGUCACUAUUUUUCUUGGAUUUUGGAGGUUUUUGUUCGGUUCUCAUCAUUUAGAUUGCAUCUAUUUGUGCCCCUGUGUGAAGUGAAUAACAUAUAUUGGUGGGAAAGUGAUUGAAAAGACGGAACAAUGUUAAAUCGAAACAAAUCUAAAACGCAACCACCAGCCUGCAGAUGCACUCAAGAUCAGUUUCCUUUCGAUUUUUACUACUUGCAUUCUGUAAUGGUCAAGCCAAAUUCCAAUAUUACGUGCUGUGUUAAUUUUGGGCAUACUCUAAGACAGAAGAUAAAACUGAAAUUGUUGGAAACAGGAGUGGACCCAACCUAAUGAAUUCCACACUCCUCAGCUUUCUAUCAAGGAUGUCAACCAGCUAAACUUUGAUUACGUGCAGGACAGUAUUCAAGAUGAACAAGAUCAAAGUCUUAAAGUGCGCUAUGCUCUCAACCUCAUCAAGCUACCAACAGCUCAAUAUCACUCCUGACUUUCUACCUCAACUUCAAGCAAUCCCGGCUUUUUAAAUUGUG